AAUCAACGCUGGCGGCGUGCCUCAGACAUGCAAGUCGAACGCGAAAGUCCCCUUCGGGGGACGAAGUAGAGUGGCGCACGGGUGAGUAACACGUAGGUAAUCUACCUUUGGAUGGGGAAUAACCACCGGAAACGGUGGCUAAUACCGCAUAAUGCAGCGGCACCUAAUGGUGACAGUUGUUAAAGCGGGGGAUCGAAAGACCUCGCGUCUGAAGAGGAGCCUGCGGCGGAUUAGCUAGUUGGAAGGUAAUGGCUUACCAAGGCGACGAUCCGUAACCGGCCUGAGAGGGGCGGUCGGUCACACUGACACUGACAUACGGGUCAGACUCCUACGGGAGGCAGCAGUCGGGAAUUUUGGGCAAUGGGCGAAAGCCUGACCCAGCAACGCCGCGUGAAGGAUGAAAUCCCUCGGGAUGUAAACUUCGCAAGAACGGGAAGAAUAAGUAGGGGACAAUAACCCCUAUGAUGACGGUACCGUUUGUAAGCUCCGGCUAACUCCGUGCCAGCCGCCGCGGUAAG
rnacentral:rRNA from 1 species